AUCUAAAUAGUUUAUUAAAAAUUUUAAUUUGUGGAGUUAAGGAUAUGAAGAUUCAUUUUAGAUA
rnacentral:tRNA from 1 species